UGCCAGCCGCCGCGGUAAUACGGAGGAUCCAAGCGUUAUCCGGAAUUAUUGGGUUUAAAGGGUCCGCAGGCUGUUUGUUAAGUCAGGGGUGAAAUCCUACCGCUCAACGGUAGAACUGCCUUUGAUACUGGCAAACUUGAGUUAUUGUGAAGUAGUUAGAAUGUGUAGUGUAGCGGUGACAGGCAUAGAUAUUACACAGAAUAACAAUUGCGAAGGCAGAUUACUAACAAUUAACUGACGCUGAGGGACGAACGCGUAGGUCGCGAACAGUAUUAGAUC
rnacentral:rRNA from 1 species